UGUCCCCACCACCCAAGUUUUUUUGGUAUAGGUUCAAAGGAUUUAGUGGACUUUGUACUCUGUUUGAUAGAUAGCCCUCCACGCUUGGGAGAAGAAAAGCAAGACUCUUUUUAUAAUUUAUGGUGACAAGACUGGCACGAGUUAGAGGCGGCUGACCUUCAUGGGACCAAGGGUCAGGAAAUGUCGUGAGCAGGGUCCCUCGGGCCUGGUGAUUAGCCUCUAAAGACAGGGGGCUGGUCGUGCAAGGGUUAAGCCUUCAGUGCUCGGCCCAGGCCCCGGAAACACUCACAGUGGACCUCCUGGCUUGCCGUACUAUGGAACCCCCUAAGGGUACUGCCGCCUGGAACGUAUAGCUUUGUGCACCCCCCCCC